GUAGAGAUGGCUAAGUGGUUGAUAGCCCCGGUCUUAAAAACCAGUAUAGUUUUGAACAAAAAACUAUCGAGGGUUCGAAUACCUCUCUCUUCU
rfam:Capsicum annuum cultivar Zunla-1 chromosome 10, whole genome shotgun sequence